CUAACUCUUAUCUAAAGAUUGUAACAACCUCAAGUUUCAAAAACAUGCAACACUAACCAGUUAUUUUAUGUGCCAUCCGACAUCCAAAACAUUUCAGAAGAUUUGGAGGGAGGUACCCUCGCAUGAGAACAGUGUCUGUUAUGAAUUGCAUUUCCCGUAAUCCUGACAUUUGACUUCACUAUGACAAUAGCUUAAAAUAAACCAACGGAAGAAUGGUUUUACAGUGGGUUAAAGCGAAGGAAUAUUACAGAAAGAGUUUGUGAACAAACAUUAAUAUUUCAACUGCCCCCAACAUUCACUACUGGAAACAUGAUUCAUCUGCAUUUUCCCAUUAAAAAAAAGAGCCUUUUACAUGUAUCCCUUUGUUAAUACCUUUGAUAUGAUCAUCCACAUCACAAGCUCUCUUUUUUUUUUUUUUUUUUU
rnacentral:misc_RNA from 1 species